rnacentral:rRNA from 1 species
GUAGGGAGCAAGCGUUGUCCGGAUUUACUGGGUGUAAAGGGUGCGUAGGCGGCUAGGCAAGUCAGACGUGAAAACCAUGGGCUCAACCUGUGGACUGCGUUUGAAACUGUUUAGCUUGAGUGAAGUAGAGGUAGGCGGAAUUCCCGGUGUAGCGGUGAAAUGCGUAGAGAUCGGGAGGAACACCAGUGGCGAAGGCGGCCUACUGGGCUUUAACUGACGCUGAGGCACGAAAGCAUGGGUAGCAAACAGGAUUAGAUACCCUGGUAGUCCAUGCCGUAAACGAUGAUUACUAGGUGUGGGGGGUCUGACCCCCUCCGUGCCGGAGUUAACACAAUAAGUAAUCCACCUGGGGAGU